UACGUAGGGUCCGAGCGUUGUCCGGAAUUACUGGGCGUAAAGAGCUCGCAGGUGGUUUGUCGCGUUGUUCGUGAAAACUCACAGCUCAACUGUGGGCGUGCGGGCGAUACGGGCAGACUAGAGUACUGCAGGGGAGACUGGAAUUCCUGGUGUAGCGGUGGAAUGCGCAGAUAUCAGGAGGAACACCGGUGGCGAAGGCGGGUCUCUGGGCCACUACUGACGCUGGAGAAGCGAAAGCGUGGGGAGCGAACAGG
rnacentral:rRNA from 1 species